UGCCAGCAGCCGCGGUAAUACGGGAGUGGCAAGCGUUAUCCGGAAUUACUGGGUUUAAAGGGUGCGUAGGCGGUUUGAUAAGUCAGAAGUGAAAAGUCCGAGCUUAACUGGGGCCUUGCUUUUGAUACUGUCAGACUUGAAUCAGGCUGAGGUUAGCGGAAUGUGACAUGUAGCGGUGAAAUGCAUAGGUACGUCAUAGAACACCAAUUGCGAAGGCAGCUAACUAGACCUCGAUUGACGCUGAGGCACGAAAGCGUGGGGAGCGAACAGGAUUAGAUA
rnacentral:rRNA from 1 species